CAAUGCUUCCAUUGUCCUCACAUUGGCAGGAUUGGCCUGGCCCAGGAGCCCAAGCAUGAAGAGUAUGAACUGGGCAGAAGGAAUUGACCUCAUGGAGUCAGAAAGUCCUGAACCUACCUACUCCCGUUUAGACCUGCUACUGAUGCUCCUGAUCUCAUCAAAAGCCCUGUGAGGAGACGAAUCCUCGAGUCCUGAAGAAAACCUGUCUUCUGGCAUAGGAGAAUGCAACUGAUGAAAUAUGACGAGUUAUCCUUUAUCAACUGCCUGUUUGCGGGGGUGGGGGUUAGCAAUUGCCUUAGGAUGCAACUUCCUUGCAUGCGUUCUUUUCCAGCAUUUCAGUAGCGUGCUAGAGAGACGCCAUGGCUUCCUGGGCAUCAUGUGUUUUUGACAGAAUAUACAUAUCUGUCUUUCAAGGGCAGAUUUCUGAGGCCUUUACAACCUCUUUUCCUUCCUUCCUUUCUUUGUUUUGGUUUUGAAAUAGGGUCUCACGCUGUAGCAUGGGGCCUGGAACUCACUGUGUAAUCCAGGGGGGACUCAAAACUUGCCACAGUGCUCCUGCCUCAGCCACCCAGGUAUUGGGAUUGCAGGUGUGAGCCACCACACCUGGAAGACUCAUUUUUUUUCACGUCUUCAUCAGUGGGCUUUUGUUUAACCAUUCUCACUUAGCGCUUUAUGAGUCAAGACUCACUAAUCAUUUUGUCUUGGUUUGUGUCUGCCCAGAACAUUAUUGGCCCUAAACCUCCUAGUAUUUGUUAUGGGCGUCAUAAAUGACUACUCAGAAUAUCAGCCAGACUUUGCAGGCGGUGGCUUCAGAUGUGUCCAGCUCACUCUCAUAAACACAGCGCAAUGCCUUGCCCCUGCCAGACACUGUAGUGACUUGAUUCAGCAUUCGCUGUGAAUUUGGAAUAAAGAUGUCAGCCUUCUCUAUUUGUCACCCAAA